UACGGAGGGUGCAAACGUUGCUCGGAAUCAUUGGGCGUAAAGCGCACGUAGGCGGACCGCUAAGUCGGAUGUGAAAGCCCUCGGCUUAACCGAGGAAGUGCAUUCGAAACUGACAGUCUUGAGUAUGGAAGAGGGUCGCGGAAUUCCCGGUGUAGAGGUGAAAUUCGUAGAUAUCGGGAGGAACACCAGUGGCGAAGGCGGCUUCCUGGCCCAUUACUGACGUUCAGGUACGAAAGCGUGGGUAGCAAACAGG
rnacentral:rRNA from 1 species